AUUGAACGCUGGCGGCAUGCCUUACACAUGCAAGUCGAACGGUAACAGGUUAAGCUGACGAGUGGCGAACGGGUGAGUAACAUAUCGGAACGUGCCCAGUCGUGGGGGAUAACGCAGCGAAAGCUGUGCUAAUACCGCAUACGAUCUACGGAUGAAAGCGGGGGAUCGCAAGACCUCGCGCGAUUGGAGCGGCCGAUAUCAGAUUAGCUAGUUGGGGAGGUAAAGGCUCACCAAGGCAACGAUCUGUAGGUGGUCUGAGAGGACGAACAGGCACACUGGAACUGAGUCACGGUCCAGACUCCUACGGGAGGCAGCAGUGGGGAAUUGUGGACAAUGGGCGCAAGCCUGAUCCAGCAAUGCCGCGUGCGGGAUGAAGGCCUUCGGGUUGUAAACUGCUUUUGUACGGAGCGAAGCGGCUCUCUCUAAUACAGAGGGCUAAUGGCGGUACCGUAAGAAUAAGCACCGGCUAACUACGUGCCAGCCGCCGCCGUAA
rnacentral:rRNA from 1 species